rnacentral:rRNA from 1 species
UACGGGGGGGGCAAGCGUUGUUCGGAAUUACUGGGCGUAAAGGGCGCGUAGGUGGCGCGGGUAGUCAUCGGUGAAAGCUCAGGGCUCAACCCUGAGUCGGCCGGUGAUACUCCCGUGCUUGAGUGUGGUGGAGGCCAAUGGAAUUCCGGGUGUAGCGGUGGAAUGCGUAGAGAUCCGGAAGAACACCGGUGGCGAAGGCGGUUGGCUGGGCCACAACUGACACUGAUGCGCGACAGCGUGGGGAGCAAACAGG